rnacentral:ncRNA from 1 species
AGAGUUUGAUCCUGGCUCAAAAUAAACAUUAGUAAUUGGCUUAACACAUGCAAGUUAAAAAUAUUAUAUUGUUUUUAGCGUACGGGUGAGUAAAACAUUUAAAUUAACCUUAUACCUAGUUCAAAAGCUAGUAUAAGAAAAGUUUAUGUAGGAUUAAGAUAGUUGGUAAAAUAAUGGUUUACCAAGUCCAUGAUCCUUAGCUGGUUUGUGAGAUCGAACAGCCACAUUGAAACUGAGAUACGGUUCAAACUUCUUUUGAAGGCAGCAGUGGGGAAUUUUAGGCAUUGAGCGAAAGCUUGACCUAGCUAAAUUACGUGUGUGAAGAAAGUUAUUAACUGUAAAACACUUUAUUUAUUUAGCAAUACUGAUAAAAAUAAAAAAAAGUCCUGGCUAAUCCUGUGCCAGCAGCCGCGGUAAAACAGGGAGGGCUAAUGUUAUUUGGAAUUAUUUGGCGUAAAGAAUAUGUAGAUUGAAAAUUAACUAAUAACUAAAAUUUUAAAUUUUAUUUUUAUUUCUGUUUAUUAAAGUGAUUUUCUAGAGUUUAUGUGGAAGAUUAUGGAACUUUAAAUGUAACGGUGAAAUGUAUUGAUAUUUAAAAGAACCUCGACAGUGAAAACAAUAAUCUAAAUUAAAACUGACGUUGAGAUAUGAAAGCAUGGGUAGCAACAGGGAUUAGAUACCCCUUUAGUCCAUAGCUGUCAACAAUGAAUGCUAUUUUUUGAAAAACAGAAAAGCAACUAACGUUUAAGCAUUCCGCCUGGGAACUACGAUCGCAAGAUUAAAACUCAAAGGAAUUGACGGGGACUUACACAAGUAGUGGAGCAUGUGGUUUAAAUCGAUAAUACACGCGAAACCUUACCAGUUUUUGUAAAUAGUACAUACGUAUACAUUAUAUAUUUUAUGUAUUACAGGAGUUGCAUGGCUGUCGUCAGCCCGUGCUGUAGAGUGUUUGAUUAAUUUCAAUAAACGGGCGAAACUUUUUCAUAUUUCUUAAAUAUUAAUAUGUACCGCUAAAAACACUUUAGAGGAAGGAAAAAUAACGUCAAGUCCGUAUGACCCUAAUAAGCUGGGCUACUCUCAUGUGCUACAAUAAUAUUAUUAAAUAAGAAGCAAAAAUGUUAAUUUAAGCAAAUCUAUAAAAAAUAUUAUAUGAAUUAUUAUCUGCAAUUUGAUAAUAUAAAAAUGGAAUUACUAGUAAUCGUAAAUUAGAAUGUUACGGUGAAUACGUUCUUAAGUCUUGUACACACCGCCCGUCACACUGUGGAAAGUUUUUUUAUUGGAAGACUUUUAACUUUGUUAAAAGUUUACACUGAAAAGCAAACUAAAGUGAAGUCGUAACAAGGUAGCCGUAGAGGAAUCUGUGGCUGGAAUUUAAAUAAUCUAAUUUUUA